rnacentral:rRNA from 1 species
UGCGGCGACCGGCGGACGGGUGCGUAACGCGUAUGUAACCUACCUUUGACAGGGGGAUAACAUCGAGAAAUUGGUACUAAUACCCCAUAACAUCACCGGAGGCAUCUUCGGUGGUUGAAAACUCAGGUGGUCAGAGAUGGACAUGCGUUGUAUUAGCUAGUUGGUGAGGUAACGGCUCACCAAGGCGACGAUACAUAGGGGGACUGAGAGGUCAACCCCCCACAUUGGUACUGAGACACGGACCAAACUCCUACGGAAGGCAGCAG